GAUGAACGCUAGCGACAGGCCUAACACAUGCAAGUCGAGGGGCAGCAUGAAAUUAGCUUGCUAAUUUUGAUGGCGACCGGCGCACGGGUGAGUAACACGUAUGCAACCUGCCUGUAAGCGGGGGAUAACCCGGAGAAAUUCGGACUAAUACCGCAUAAUAUCAUUAAUUCGCAUGUUUUAAUGAUUAAAAAUUUAUUGCCUACAGAUGGGCAUGCGUAUGAUUAGCUAGUUGGCGGGGUAACGGCCCACCAAGGCGACGAUCAUUAGGGGUUCUGAGAGGAAGGUCCCCCACAUUGGAACUGAGACACGGUCCAAACUCCUACGGGAGGCAGCAGUGAGGAAUAUUGGUCAAUGGACGAGAGUCUGAACCAGCCAUGUCGCGUGAAGGAUGACUGUCCUAUGGAUUGUAAACUUCUUUUAUAUGGGGAUAAAGUGUGAGACUUGUCUCAUUUUGCAUGUACCAUAUGAAUAAGCAUCGGCUAACUCCGUGCCAGCAGCCGCAGUAAUAC
rnacentral:rRNA from 1 species